AUCGAACGCUGGCGGCAGGCCUAACACAUGCAAGUCGAACGAACCUUUCGGGGUUAGUGGCGGACGGGUGAGUAACACGUGGGAACGUGCCUUUAGGUUCGGAAUAACUCAGGGAAACUUGUUCUAAUACCGAAUGUGCCCUUCGGGGGGAAGAUUUAUCGCCUUUAGAGCGGCCCGCGUCUGAUUAGCUAGUUGGUUGAGGUAAUGGCUCACCAAGGCGACGAUCAGUAGCUGGUCUGAGAGGAUGAUCAGCCACAUUGGGACUGAGACACGGCCCAAAAUCCUACGGGAGGCAGCAGUGGGGAAUCUUGCGAAAUGGGCGAAAGCCUGACGCAGCCAUGCUGCGUGAAUGAUGAAGGUCUUAGGAUUGUAAAAUUCUUUCACCGGGGACGAUAAUGACGGUACCCGGAGAAGAAGCCCCGGCUAACUUCGUG
rnacentral:rRNA from 1 species